GUCCUUGCCUUAAACUAUGUAUACUUGGUGUAAUUGGGCUCAACCCUAAUUGUACCGUAGCGAACGCGUUAAGUAUACCGCCUGGGGAGUACGCUCGCAAGGGUAAAACUCAAAAGAAUUGACGGGGACCCGCACAAGCAGUGGAGCAUGUGGUUUAAUUCGAUGCAACGCGAAGAACCUUACCUGGACUUGACAUGCUUUUGACAACCGUAGAAAUACGGCUUUUCUCGCAAGAGACAGAAGCACAGGUGCUGCAUGGCUGUCGU
rnacentral:rRNA from 1 species